UUAAACAGCAAUAAGUCACCAGGACCAGAUGAUAUUCACCCAAGAUUCUGAAGGAACUCAAACGUGAAAUUGCAGGACUACUAACUUUAGUCUAUAACCUAUCCUUUAAAUCAGAUUCUGUACCAGAUGACUGGAGGAUAGCUAAUGUGACGCCAAUU